rnacentral:lncRNA from 1 species
AAAAAUAUCUACCAGUGAUUUCUUCAUAAAAAUUUCAAGAAGGAAAGUGCCAUGUGUACGUUUCAAAAUAAAGCAAAAAAAAAGUGUAUGUCACCGACCUUUCAAAAAAGUUAUGAGUAAUUUUCAUGUUUUUUUCUCGCUCGUUUUGAAGAAAAGAGUUGUCUUUCUUCAGAACAUUGCAUCUGACGUCAUAGUGCAAACUUUUUAAGCUGGCGCACUAUUUGAAAAAA